UACGAAGGGGGCUAGCGUUGUUCGGAAUUACUGGGCGUAAAGCGCGUGUAGGCGGGUCUUUAAGUCAGGGGUGAAAUGCCAAGGCUCAACCUUGGAACUGCCUUUGAUACUGGAGACCUUGAGUCCGGGAGAGGUGAGUGGAAUUGCGUGUGUAGAGGUGAAAUUCGUAGAUAUUCGCAAGAACACCAGUGGCGAAGGCGGCUCACUGGCCCGGAACUGACGCUGAGACGCGAAAGCGUGGGGAGCAAACAGG
rnacentral:rRNA from 1 species